rnacentral:rRNA from 1 species
AUUGAACGCUGGCGGCAGGCCUAACACAUGCAAGUCGAACGGUAACAGGAAACAGCUUGCUGUUUCGCUGACGAGUGGCGGACGGGUGAGUAAUGUCUGGGAAACUGCCUGAUGGAGGGGGAUAACUACUGGAAACGGUAGCUAAUACCGCGUAACGUCGCAAGACCAAAGAGGGGGACCUUCGGGCCUCUUGCCAUCGGAUGUGCCCAGAUGGGAUUAGCUAGUAGGUGGGGUAACGGCUCACCUAGGCGACGAUCCCUAGCUGGUCUGAGAGGAUGACCAGCCACACUGGAACUGAGACACGGUCCAGACUCCUACGGGAGGCAGCAGUGGGGAAUAUUGCACAAUGGGCGCAAGCCUGAUGCAGCCAUGCCGCGUGUAUGAAGAAGGCCUUCGGGUUGUAAAGUACUUUCAGCGGGGAUGAAGGGAGUAAAGUUAAUACCUUUGCUCAUUGACGUUACCCGCAGAAGAAGCACCGGCUAACUCCGUG